GUCCUUUCCAGCUGGGAGUCUUUGAGCUGACCCAUUCCUAGGGAUAGGUGUUUGCUCUGCUGCUCCAACUCAGAAUGGGAAAUUGCUGUGGUUCCUGCUGUGGUUCCUGCUGUGAUGGUCUCCGGAAGCUGGCCAGGAGAAUAAAGCUGAAGGUUCACCCCACUUCUCACCCUAUUGAAGAGUGUACCAAGUGUGUGGUGGAGGACCUUAGCAAGAAAGCACUGUGGCCCAACACAUCCAGGUUAAGCUUGGCUGUCUUUGCC